UACGUAGGGUGCAAGCGUUGUCCGGAAUUAUUGGGCUUAAAGAGCUCGUAGGCGGUCUGUCGCGUCUGCUGUGAAAACUCGGGGCUUAACCCCGGGCCUGCAGUGGGUACGGGCAGACUAGAGUGCGGUAGGGGAGACUGGAAUUCCUGGUGUAGCGGUGAAAUGCGCAGAUAUCAGGAGGAACACCGGUGGCGAAGGCGGGUCUCUGGGACGUAACUGACGCUGAGGAGCGAAAGCAUGGGGAGCGAACAGG
rnacentral:rRNA from 1 species